AUCAGCGAUGAUAGUGGUACGGAAGUAGAGAGGGAGACGAGUGAACAGACGUGAGGAUGGCGUAGGGGUAGAUGAGAAGCUGUCUUUACGACGGGUAGCUGUGGUUGAAGAUUUCUUUGACAUUAUUUAUUCGAUGCAUGUGGAAACGGGACCAAAUGGAGAACAAAUUCGGAAACACGCUGGACAAAAGAGAACUUACAAAGCAAUUUCAGAGAGCUAUGCCUUCCUACCAAGAGAAGCGGUGACACGAUUUCUAAUGAGCUGCUCAGAGUGCCAGAAAAGAAUGCAUUUAAACCCAGAUGGAACAGAUCAUAAAGAUAAUGGAAAACCUCCCACUUUGGUGACCAGCAUGAUUGACUACAACAUGCCAAUUACCAUGGCCUACAUGAAGCACAUGAAGCUGCAGCUGCUAAACUCACAGCAAGAUGAGGAUGAAAGUUCAAUAGAAAGUGAUGAAUUUGACAUGAGUGAUUCAACACGGAUGUCAGCUGUGAACUCUGAUCUUAGCUCCAAUCUUGAAGAAAGAAUGCAAAGUCCCCAGAAUCUUCAUGGCCAGCAAGAUGGUAA
rnacentral:sRNA from 1 species